rnacentral:rRNA from 1 species
CCCUUAGAUGUUCUGGGCCGCACGCGCGCUACACUGACGAAUGCAACGAGCUUAUAACCAUGGCCGAAAGGUCUGGGUAAUCUCCAAAUUUCGUCGUGAUGGGGAUAGAUUAUUGCAAUUAUUAAUCUUCAACGAGGAAUGCCUAGUAAGCGCAAGUCAUCAGCUUGCGUUGAUUACGUCCCUGCCCUUUGUACACACCGCCCGUCGCUCCUACCGAUUGAAUGGUCCGGUGAAGCGUUCGGACCGUGGCCUUUGGACGGUUCGCCGUCUGUUGGCUGCGGGAAGUUCGUUAAACCUUAUCAUUUAGAGGAAGGAGAAGUCGUAACA